AGUGGGGAAUAUUGGACAAUGGGCGCAAGCCUGAUCCAGCAAUGCCGCGUGGGUGAAGAAGGCCUUCGGGUUGUAAAGCCCUUUUGUACGGGAAGAAAUCCUGUCGGUUAAUACCCGGCGGGGAUGACGGUACCGUAAGAAUAAGCACCGGCUAACUUCGUGCCAGCAGCCGCGGUAAUACGAAGGGUGCAAGCGUUAAUCGGAAUUACUGGGCGUAAAGCGUGCGUAGGCGGUUCGUUAAGUCCGAUGUGAAAGCCCUGGGCUCAACCUGGGAAUGGCAUUGGAUACUGGCGAGCUAGAGUGUGAUAGAGGAUGGCGGAAUUCCCGGUGUAGCGGUGAAAUGCGUAGAGAUCGGGAGGAACAUCCGUGGCGAAGGCGGCCAUCUGGAUCAACACUGACGCUGAGGCACGAAAGCGUGGGGAGCAAA
rnacentral:rRNA from 1 species